GGUGAGAUGACAGAGCGGCCCAUUGUGCCCGCCUUGAGAGCGGGUGGCCGAGAGGCCUCCUGGGUUCGAAUCCCAGUCUCACCG
rnacentral:tRNA from 3 species